UACGGAGGGUGCAAGCGUUAUCCGGAUUUACUGGGCUUAAAGGGUGUGUAGGCGGGCUUUUAAGUCAGUGGUGAAAUCUCCGGGCUCAACCCGGAAACUGCCAUUGAUACUAUUAGUCUUGAAUUUUGUUGAGGUAGGCGGAAUAAGUCAUGUAGCGGUGAAAUGCUUAGAUAUGACGUAGAACACCAAUUGCGAAGGCAGCUUGCUAAACAAACAUUGACGCUGAGGCACGAAAGCGUGGGGAUCAAACAGG
rnacentral:rRNA from 1 species